GACGAACGCUGGCGGCGUGCCUAAUACAUGCAAGUUGAGCGCUGAAGGUUGGUACUUGUACCAACUGGAUGAGCAGCGAACGGGUGAGUAACGCGUGGGGAAUCUGCCUUUGAGCGGGGGACAACAUUUGGAAACGAAUGCUAAUACCGCAUAAAAACUUUAAACACAAGUUUUAAGUUUGAAAGAUGCAAUUGCAUCACUCAAAGAUGAUCCCGCGUUGUAUUAGCUAGUUGGUGAGGUAAAGGCUCACCAAGGCGAUGAUACAUAGCCGACCUGAGAGGGUGAUCGGCCACAUCGGGACUGAGACACGGCCCAAACUCCUACGGGAGGCAGCAGUAGGGAAUCUUCGGCAAUGGACGAAAGUCUGACCGAGCAACGCCGCGUGAGUGAAGAAGGGUUUCGGAUCGUAAAACUCUGUUGGUAGAGAAGAACGUUGGUGAGAGUGGAAAGCUCAUCAAGUGACGGUAACUACCCAGAAAGGGACGGCUAACUACGUG
rnacentral:rRNA from 1 species